UACGUAGGGUGCAAGCGUUAAUCGGAAUUACUGGGCGUAAAGCGUGCGCAGGCGGUUAUGUAAGACAGAUGUGAAAUGCCCGGGCUUAACCUGGGAACUGCAUUUGUGACUGCAUGGCUAGAGUUUGGCAGAGGGGGGUAGAAUUCCACGUGUAGCAGUGAAAUGCGUAAAUAUGCGGAGGAACACCGAUGGCGAAGGCAAUCCCCUGGACCUGUACUGACGCUCAUGCACGAAAGCGUGGGGAGCAAACAGG
rnacentral:rRNA from 1 species